rnacentral:misc_RNA from 1 species
GAUGAAGAACGUAGCGAAAUGCGAUAAGUAAUGUGAAUUGCAGAAUUCAGUGAAUCAUCGAAUCUUUGAACGCACAUUGCGCCCGCCAGUAUUCUGGCGGGCAUGCCUGUUCGAGCGUCAUUACAACCCUCAGGCCCCCGGGCCUGGCGUUGGGGAUCGGCGGAAGCCCCCUGCGGGCACAACGCCGUCCCCCAAAUACAGUGGCGGUCCCGCCGCAGCUUCCAUUGCGUAGUAGCUAACACCUCGCAACUGGAGAGCGGCGCGGCUACGCCGUAAAACACCCAACUUCUGAAUGUUGACCUCGAAUCAGGUAGGAAUACCCGCUGAACUUAAGCAUAUCAAUAAGCGGAGGA